UACGAAGGGGGCAAGCGUUGUCCGGAAUCAUUGGGCGUAAAGAGCGUGUAGGCGGCUUGGUAAGUCCGCUGUGAAAGUCCAGGGCUCAACCCUGGAAUGCCGGUGGAAACUGUCAAGCUUGAGUCCGGAAGAGGCGAGUGGAAUUCCUGGUGUAGCGGUGAAAUGCGCAGAUAUCAGGAGGAACACCAAUGGCGAAGGCAGCUCGCUGGGACGGUACUGACGCUGAGACGCGAAAGCGUGGGGAGCAAACAGG
rnacentral:rRNA from 1 species